AGAGUUUGAUCAUGGCUCAGAAUCAACGCUGGCGGCGCGCUUAACACAUGCAAGUCGAGCGAGAAAGGGAGCAAUCCUGAGUAAAGCGGCGUACGGGUGAGUAACACGCGGAUCAUAUACCUUUUAGUGGGGAAUACCCUUGGGAAACCGAGGACAAUACCGCAUAAUCCCGGGAGGGGAAAGCAGCAAUGCGCUGAAAGAGUAGUCCGCGGCUGAUUAGCUAGUUGGUAGGGUAAAGGCCUACCAAGGCUGUGAUCGGUAGCCGGCCUGAGAGGGCACACGGCCACACUGGCACUGAAACACGGGCCAGACUCCUACGGGAGGCAGCAGUGGGGAAUCUUGCACAAUGGACGAAAGUCUGAUGCAGCGACGCCGCGUGAGCGAUGAAGCCCUUCGGGGUGUAAAGCUCUUUCGACAGGAACGAUAAUGACGGUACCUGGAGAAGAAGCUGCGGCUAACUACGUGCCAGCAGCCGCGGUAAUACGUAGGCAGCAAGCGUUGUUCGGAAUUACUGGGCGUAAAGCGUGCGUACGCGGUGGCUCAAGUUUGGGUGUGAAAUCUCCCGGCUCAACUGGGGAGGGUGCGCCGAAAACUGAGUUGCUCGAGUGUGGGAGAGGUAAGGCGG
rnacentral:rRNA from 1 species